AAGAACAAUAAGAGCUCUCAGCAGUCUCUCCAGCCCCAGAGAAGAUAUAUGUUAAUAACAGCACACGGAGACACUCCAACAUUAUUGUCUUGAGGAGGAUGCUAACUCAGACCACACUGAGAUACUGUUUUAUAUGCCUCUGGCUGGCUGGAAUCACCACCAUCACCACCAUCGCCACCACCAUCGCCACCACCAUCGCCCUCAUUGGAGCUGAUGGCUUUCCGCCCCCGACGGUGCCGGGCAGAUCUCUCGACCUCGGCAGCCUCUUCCUUCACCGGAUAGGCAGCCACGUUGCCCUGGCCAGGAUGCUGUGAAGGUCUCCAGGUGGAGUGGAGGGAAUACCACGAAUGGUAAAGGAGUAUGGCACUCUUGGGGGAGCCUUGCCGGAAGACGUGGGCUCCUUGACCACCAGGUCCCCGACACAGGUCGCGGUGGAGGAGGAAGCAGCCGAGUUGUUCAGAGUGUACAGCAAGACUGACUUGAGCAAGUGUUCCAUGGCAGUCACCCGAUCCAGAUUAAACAGCAGGUCCACCGUCGGCAGGGGUCCUAGAAGAGAAGCCACCAGUGAGCAGUGCACGGGACAGGAAUGACAUGGAGGAAUUAGUACAUGGUCAUAGGCAGUUUCUCUUUCCUCUCCUCCCCUGCUUCCUUAAACCUCCAAAACAAAGGGAAGAAGAGGCUAAUGAGGAGAAUACAGCAGGUCCAGGGAUGCAACUCCGUGGUAGAGCACUUGUCCGGCAUGCACAUGGGCCUGGGUCAUGCCUUGAAUUGGAUGGGGAGGUGUGUUUGUGAUACCAUCACUUUGGAGGAUUGCCAUUAGUCUGGGUAUGUAGUGAGACACACACACACACACACACACACACACACACACACACAGAC